rnacentral:rRNA from 1 species
GAGUUUGAUCCUGGCUCAGAAUGAACGCUGGCGGCGUGCCUAACACAUGCAAGUCGAACGAGAAAACCUUUCGGGGUUAGUACAGUGGCGGACGGGUGAGUAACGCGUGGGAAUCUGCCCUUCAGUGAAGAAUACCUCCGAGAAAUCAGAGUCAAAACUGCAUACACCAGAGAUGGUAAAGGUGGCCUCUUUGCUACCGCUGAAGGAUGAGCCUGCGUACUAUUAGCUAGUUGGUAGGGUAAUGGCCUACCAAGGCGAUGAUGGUUAGCCGGCCUGAGAGGGUGAUCGGCCAUACUGGAACUUAGACACGGUCCAGACUCCUACGGGAGGCAGCAGUGAGGAAUAUUGCUCAAUGGGCGCAAGCCUGAAGCAGCGACGCCGCGUGGAGGAUGAAGGUCUUCGGAUUGUAAACUUCUGUUGAGUGGGAACAAAGACCUGUCGCUAAUACCGACAGAGGAUGAGGGUACCACUAAAGAAAGCACCGGCUAAACUCGAGCCAGCAGCCGCGGUAAUACGAGUGGUGCGAGCGUUAUUCGGAAUUAUUGGGCGUAAAGGGGUUUCGUAGGCGGCCCUUGUAAGUCUGUUGUU